GUCUAUAACAUGCAAGUCGAACGGCAGCACGGGACCAAUCCUGGUGGCGAGUGGCGAACGGGUGAGUAAUACAUCGGAACGUGCCCUGUCGUGGGGGAUAACUAGUCGAAAGAUUAGCUAAUACCGCAUACGACCUGAGGGUGAAAGCGGGGGACCGCAAGGCCUCGCGCGACAGGAGCGGCCGAUGUCUGAUUAGCUAGUUGGUGGGGUAAAGGCCUACCAAGGCGACGAUCAGUAGCUGGUCUGAGAGGACGAUCAGCCACACUGGGACUGAGACACGGCCCAGACUCCUACGGGAGGCAGCAGUGGGGAAUUUUGGACAAUGGGGGCAACCCUGAUCCAGCAAUGCCGCGUGUGUGAAGAAGGCCUUCGGGUUGUAAAGCACUUUUGUCCGGAAAGAAAUGGCUCUGGUUAAUACCCGGGGUCGAUGACGGUACCGGAAGAAUAAGCACCGGCUAACUACUGCCAGCAGCCGCGGUAAUACUAGGGUGCGAGCGUUAAUCGGAAUUACUGGGCGUAAAGCUGCGCAGGCGGUUUGUAAGACAGUUGUGAAAUCCCCGGGCUCAACCUGGGAAUUGCAUCUGUGACUGCUAGCUAGAUACGGUAGAGGGGGAUGGAAUUCCGCUGAGCAUGAAAUGCUAGAUAUGCGGAGGAACACCGUGGCGAAGGCAAUCCCCUGGACCUGUACUGAUGCUCAUGGACGAAAGCUGGGGAGCAAACAGGAUUAGAUACCCUGGUAGUCCACGCCUAAUCAUGUCAACUGUUGUUGGGUUCAUUAUACUCAGUAACGAACUACGCUG
rnacentral:rRNA from 1 species